AUGUCUGACCAGGAGGCAAAACCUUCAACUGAGGACUUGGGGGAUAAGAAGGAAGGUGAAUAUAUUAAACUCAAAGUCACUGGACAGGAUAGCAGUGAGAUUCACUUCAAAGUGAAAAUGACAACACAUCUCAAGAAACUCAAAGAAUCAUACUGUCAAAGACAGGGUAUUCCAAUGAAUCCACUCGGUUUCUCUUUGAGGGUCAGAGAAUUGCUGAUAAUCAUACUCCAAAAGAACUGGGAAUGGAGGAAGAAGAUGUGAUUGAAGUUUAUCAGGAACAAACGUAGUGGGGGGCGGUCAUU
rnacentral:lncRNA from 1 species